CCUACGGGAGGCAGCAGUGAGGAAUAUUGGUCAAUGGACGAGAGUCUGAACCAGCCAAGUAGCGUGAAGGAUGACUGCCCUAUGGGUUGUAAACUUCUUUUAUAUGGGAAUAAAAGGGGGCUCGUGAGCCCCGUAUUGUAUGUACCAUCAGAAAAAGGACCGGCUAAUUCCGUGCCAGCAGCCGCGGUAAUACGGAAGGUCCGGGCGUUAUACGGAUUUAUUGGGUUUAAGGGGAGCGUAGGCCGGCUUUUAAGUCAGCUGUGAAAGUCCGCGGCUCAACCGUGGAAUUGCAGUUGAAACUGGAGGCCUUGAGUGCACGCAGGGAUGGCGGAAUUCAUGGUGUAGCGGUGAAAUGCUUAGAUAUCAUGAAGAACUCCGAUCGCGAAGGCAAGUGUCCGGGGUGCAACUGACGCUGAGGCUCGAAAGUGCGGGUAUCAAACAGGAUUAGAUACCCGUGUAGUC
rnacentral:rRNA from 1 species